CCUUGGCGCCCCUCUCCCCGCUCCAGUCACGUCCUCCUACUUCACAUGUCCCACCCUCGCGCCACAGGUCGCGCCUGGAGGACGCCGUGGCUCCUGAGUUCCUCCUUGGCACGUGGGGCUGGAUCCUGCUUCGUGCCUGACUCCAGGAGCCGGUCCCCACGAGAAGAAGCAACUCGGUGGAGGAAGUGUGGCUGACAAUUAGAAAAACACCCAGCCCCUGCCCCGGGGUGGAAGGUGAGACUCUGGACAGCUCAGCUCUGAUAAGGACUGUCUCGUCGGAGGCCCGAGGGCCCACGUGGAUCCCACCUGGCAAUCAAAGCAAUGAUCACAAAUGUUGUAACCAGAAGCCACAAAACCAAGUUACAGUCAACUUCCUUUGACCUCCCCUGGGAAUUUCGUGGCCCAUUACUCUGGGCUAAGGUGGAAGGAAGGAUCUCUCCUGUUAUGACCUGAAAAUAUUUUUUCUGAGUUCCUCAUUCAAUUCUGAUGACUGUGCUGCUCUUGGACACAAGGCCAAAAGUCUGGAUCAGGGAAGGAGCCACUUCUCUACUUCAACUUCCAUGUUGUUGGAGGAGGUAUCAGAACAAAUAGAAAGUUCCUAAGAACCAGGUUCAUGUUCAGAAUCAAUGAGCUAAGUGAAUUUGUGUUACCUCCUGUCAUCGGAAGGUAUCUAAAAGGAAGUUAUACCAGCAAGUUCUUAUUUUUUUCUAACUCCCUGUUACACAGAGCCCAGGUAGCUGAAAUUUAUUCCUGUUACACUGCCAUGAAUGCCAUCAGUAUGGACUGUCAGACCUGUUUUCAGUGGGGAAUAAAAAUCAAUGCAAAACUGAUUAUUUGGCCAACAUCUGAUAGGGACUGGAGAAGGUGCUAAUUGCUAGGCUUACAUUUCAGGAAACAACUUAUUUUGUUGUAUUGGUGCCAGUUAAUACAAAAGCCAUGCUUGGUGACUACACCAUUUCCAACUAGCAUUAAUCUGAUGUCACAUAAUCUCAUUACCAGGUCAGGUUGGUACAUGGGACACACCUCCAUGUUUGCACAUUUCAAAUUUAUGUACAUUAGUUUGGAAAAUGAAACUAUUCUUCCCUGCCUUCAGCACCUUCCCAUAGUUUCUAGUAGAGUAGCUAAAAUGAUUUGAAAAGGUCUUUGAAAAGCUUCUUUGUCGAGGGCCCCUCAAAUUAGCUCAUCCCAAAGAAUUCAAAGCCUGUGCCAUUUUUACAAGUGUUUAUAUAGUGAGGACCACAUCCAAACAAUACAGGGCCCUGGGCUGAUCUGGAGACAAGGGAAGGAGGUUCCCAAGAAUUGGUACAGCAAUGAAGCCACUGGAGAAUGAGGCUCCCAGGGCCAGUCUCACAGGUGAGUGCUCUGCCUUUCCAGAAACACCUUCUCCUCCUCAGUCCUAGUGGGCCCGAGUCCAGAAUCCCAUAUUAGUGACCGACUCCCUGAACCCCAUCCCUGAACCAUCCCCUCUGGCCUAGUCCAUCCCAGCGUCCCCAUAUCUGAAUUCCACAUGUAUUUGGAUUUCUACUCUUGGAAACUACAUCCUUAAGCUUCCCAGUUUAUCCUGUGUAAAGCCCAAUAAAACAUAAACGAGUACAGGCCCUGGAACCUUCCAUUCAGCACCUAGCAGUGCAACUUGGACCAAGUUACAUAUCUCCUUUGUACCCUCACUUCCUCCAGUGAAAAGGUGGGCUAGUCUGUCUAAAACUAACAAGUAAAGGGAGGAAGAAAAGGGGUCUAGCAGCAUUCUCUUAUCUCCUUGGUUUGGCAGGAGAAUUAAAUACAGUAUUAUCCAUCAUUCCUGGAAAUACCCAUUAUAAUCAAUAUUAUUAGAGCAGAAAACCUAUCUGGCAUCAAUGGAGCAGAGGUGUUUGUUUUUUUUUUUUUUUGAAUGACUUAUUUGCAUGUAUGAAAUGUGCUUACCCUAAAAAAACACUUUUUUAUGGACAAAGGGAAAUGAUGUUAUAACUAUUUAAAAAGAUUCUGCUGGGAACAAAAACCUACUUGAAAAUUACUAAAUUGGACUUAUAUGAAUUGCUCAUUUAAGCAGAUGGUAAGAAAGAGAGAGUAAAUCUGUUUUCAAUUUUUUUAAAAUCUUUAAGAAGAUGAAGGGGCCAACAGCAAAUAGAAGCAUGGAAAGCAUUUUGCAAUCAAGGACACGCAGGCCCUGGAGGAAGGAAGAGACCACCCUUCCUAACUAGCAGGUAGUGAGGCUGCUGACUUCAACCACGGAGAUCACUUCCUCCACACCAGGCUCCAAGCCAAUGCUGUCACCACUUUAGUCAUUUUCCCGGCAUCUGGGAGGCCAGGAACCACUAUGACUCCCCUUCUAGGACACACAAAGGAUGUGGAACCUGCCCAGGAAGAGGUCUCCUGCCCGCUGUACUGAGCAGGUAAGGAUGCUCCCACGAUCCUGGUCACCGUGGCCCUCAAGCAGCCCCUAGAGAAAGCCGAGCUCUGGAAAUAUGUGGUUCCAGGAAAAAAGGAAUCCUGGUGAUGUUGAUUAAAGCAAGACUUGCCUCCCCAAGAGAAAUGACACUGUAAGAAACAGAAAUGAGGUACGUGGGUGUGAAGAGGGACUUCUCUAAAUUGAAAGGAGUACUGCCUCUGAAAACUAGAACCAAACUGGCGGCAAUAGUUCGCUCAUUUAGAAAUAUUGGUAAAUACCCACCAUGUG